rnacentral:lncRNA from 1 species
CGCUGUUGCAUGCCAAAAUCGCAACAAAGGUCAUCGAGAUGACAGAUUUGCCGCCCCAUAGCCGCAACAGGCAGCAUAUGUGCGCGGAGUGAACCUCCAGGAGCAGGAAGGGGGUGCUACCUCACCCCGACUCCCCGCGGAGAAACUGUCGGGUCAGAGCCACCGGGAGUCGUCGCGCAUCCGAAAGUCGUCGCGUCCUGCAAUAACAUCCAUCUGUGUGUCACAAGGACAAUGCUAGAGACGUUUUGCAUCCAAUCAGCAAGAUAAAUAGAAGUAUUUCCCUUAUGAUUAUUCUUUUCAAGAAAAUCUCUUUAAGAUGUUUUUUUUGAAAGAAAGGGGUUGCCCCCUGCCCCAUUUUAUUAGAACGAAGCACCAGAAAACCACACAAUCCACAUCCACCCAUCACCAGGCAAGACUAACAUCCACCACAUCAGGCAUAACACACAGGUAAAUGUCCUGAAAACGGGCACCAGCACCACAAAAAGCUACCACACUGCUGAACAAGACCUGCAAACCAGUUCAAGAAACCUAGCUUUAUUACAGGCCAUAUCAAUCAGACGUCCAUGCUAUUCGAAGCAGUUCGCCUCGAUACAUGUCCAGCAGCAGGAAAAAUCUUCUCAGCACCUCCGCUUGUGCAGCGUCGCACAGCACCAUCCAUUUUUGCAAAUUCCUUUUUAACUUGGCAAGGCUGCAUCCCAGACCCCUCCAUCAACGUCCCUGGAAGCAAAAAUCGUUUCUCAGUGUCCAAAUACUCCACAAGGAGGAGCAGUGACCAUAUUAAGCAUAAUUCUCUUCUUUUUUACUUUCCACAUGGAAGAUAUAUCAUCAAAACAUUGAAUCUUUCUUAUCAUAAAAAAUCAGAAACAAUAGACCAAAUAUACUCAGCAUUGAUACAGUCAAAAAAUAAGUGUUGUAUAGUUUCCAUUUCACUACAAAACAGGCAAGUUAAGUCAUCCACAUUUUUCCUCUUAGCCACAUGGUCUCUAGUCAGAAUUUUGUUAUAUAAACACAGCCAUAGAAAAACAUGGAUGUUCUGGGGGGCAAAGAACGUUCCAUAAGGUAUCUCCAUAAGGAGUGCUCACCCCACCAAAAUUGAUGCAUUUGUAAAAUGAUCUAACUGAGUAACAGCCAUUAUGUUCUAACACCCACACACGUAAAUCAGGAUUAUUAGAGAAGGAAAAAAAUUAAUAUGUUCAAUGAGAUUUUCCCACUUAUUCAUUAAAUCUUGGUCUACACAUCUUCUAAAAGUGAGCCUGAGAUUAUUUCCAUCCCAAACCUGGGACACCACACACUCUUGUUGAUUACAUAUUUCAAACAAGCCCCAAAAUUUGACUUGAAGGGAACAAUCCCCAACCCAUUUAUCAUGCCAAAAUCUAAUAUUAUUACCAUCACCAAUCUUCCAAUCAUAAAAAAUUCUGGCAGCUUGGAGAGCCCAAGAAAUACUCUUCCAAAAGGGGGAUCCCCCCUGUUGCGUGGACCAAAAAAUAUUUGGACUAUCAACUUUAUAUUUAAAUACAAGUAGUUUCUUCCAGUCACUGUCGCUAUUGUUAUAAAAUCUCUUCCCCAGGAGGCUAACAAGGCCAUAUUAAACUCUCUAAUAUUUGGUAUUACCAAACCACCAAAUUCCUCCUUCCUGGAAACCAGCCCCCAAUGAGCCAAAUGAUACUUGUGCUGGUCUCCCAUGUUCCCCCACAGGAAAUGAGCCAUCAGAGAGUUGAUAGCAUUAAUGGCCCAUUUAGGAAAUUUCAAUACUGCCAUCAAGUAAGCAGGAAUACUAACCACACAUGCGCAGAGCAAGAUAAUCUUCCCUUUAUAUGUUAGAUAUCUACCCAGCCACCCAGAAAUGCCCUUGAUAAUCCUAUCAAUGAUAGGUUGGAGAUCCUCUCUUCUCAACUUAUCAUAAUGCAAGGGCACCCCCAAAUACUUAAUAGGGAAGGAACCAAUGUUACAGCAGAAAAUUUGGGCAAAGAUUUUUGCUCUCUCUUCAUCCACAUUUAUGGUAAUAAGAUCACUUUUAUGGAAACUGAUUUUCAUACCAGAAAUACUCUCAAAACAUGUCAGAAUCCAUUUAAAGUUCUUUGCUUUCUCAUAGGAAUCCUACAAAAAGAGGAGAGUAUCAUCUGCAUAUUGAAGACUAACAAUCCCUCCUGGAAUAACAUUAUUCAACAAACCAGAGAUCAACCCCUGUCUAGCAGCUUUAGCAAGCAUCUUAGUGAAUACAUCAGCUACCAGGUUAAAGAGAAUCGAGGAUAUAGGAUCCCCUUGUUUGAGACAUUUCCCCCCUACAAAGUAGGGACCCGUGGUAUCAUUAAUUCGGACACUAAAGGUCCCUUGGAACAGUAAUUUCUUAAUCCAGGAAAUCCAUUUAGAGCCAAAACCUCGGGAUUCAAGCAUUUCAAACAAAAAUUCCCAACUAACCCGAUCAUACGCUUUUUCAUAAUCCAGUUUGAGCACAAGCCCGGGAUUAUUGUUUUUUUUACCUCAUGAAUCACUUCAUGAGCUAGUACCACACUCUCUAAGAUAUAUCUACCUUUAAUAAAGGCAGUCUGGUUAGGAGAUAUCAACCUAUCACUAAUGGGGGACAGCCUAUUGGUUAAAACUUUAGAAAAAAACUUAACAGCACAAUUGCUCAGACUAAUUGGCCUAAAUUUCUUCAUAAUAUUGGCAUCAGGCUCCUUUGGAAUUAAAAUGAUCAAAGCAAAAUUUAGUUUAUGAAUGUCCAACUUACCCUCCUCAAAGUCCCUAACCAUUGCCAUAAAAUCAGCUUUGAUCACAUCCCAAAAGGUUUGGUAAAACAGAAACGAGAGGCCAUCCAGCCCUGGGGCACCAUUGGCAUAUGAGCCAAAAAUGGCUUCCUUCACCUCAGACUCCGAGAAGGUUUUUUGAAGAUUUUCAUUUUCAGAAAAGGUAAUUAACUCAUCAUCCUCCCAAAAGGCAGGACCCGAAUGAAUAUUAUGCCUUUCCUCAUGACCAAAUAUUUUUUUUGUAAAAGGAUGUCGCCACCUCCAGCAUUUCAUUAGAGGAAUAAACAGGUCCAUGUUCACCAACAAGCUCAGAAAGAUGAUUUUUCCUGUGCCGAUGAUUUGCUAACGCAUGAAAAUAAGCAUUAUUUUUAUCACCUUCCCUAAUCCUACGAUCUCUGGAUCUUUGCCACAAGAUAAUCUCCUCUUUCCUCAUAAUCUCUUCCAGUUCCACUUUUAUAUCUUUCAUACGUUUAUUGUCAGCAUUCGUAACACGAUUGGACUCAGCAAACACAUCUAAGAUAUCAAAUUCCAUUAUAAGGUCCCUCUUUUUCUUUUUAAUAGCAGCUUCAAUAUUAACACUCCACCCCUUAAUCUUUAUUCUAAGGCGUUUGGAUUUAGCAAUCCAAAUAUCAAUAGCAGAUCCGCCUAAAAUUGGGGCACUCCACACUGUUUCGACAAUAUCUUUAAAGUCAGGUUGCUCCAACCACCAUUUUUCAAAUCUGGACAAUUAGGGGAGGUAACCCUCCGAGCCAUUGUAUCUAGCACGAUGGGGGUAUGGUCACUACCAAUUCUGGGCAAAGCCCUAAGAAUUGAUAGAGGAAACAUAGCAUCCCAAGAAGGGGAAACAAACACUCUAUCAAUAGUGGAAUAAAUGGGGUCCUCCUGAUUAUUACACCAGGUGUAUUUCCUAUUUGCUACACUGAUUUCCAUCAGCCCCCCCUUAUUGAUCCAGUCAUUAAACAGGAAAGAAGUGGAAUGAUUCACAUUACCAUUACUCUUAUCAGAGUCAGAUCUGGUCAGGUUAAAGUCCCCACCCAAAAUAAUUGGAUAGGAGGCUUUCUCCAUAACCUCAUGCAAAUUUGCAAUAAAAUCCAUCUUGCGUUCAUUAUAAGCAGUGCCAUAGAUAGCAACAAACUGCCAAAUAGAUUUAUCAGUUUUAUUCCUCACUGUAGCCGUUACACAGAACUCUUGAUUCACAAAACCAACAAUUUCAAAAAGAUCCCCAUUAAUGCCCACAAGGACACCACCAGCUGUUCCUCGAGCAGGCAGUUGAUGCCACACAAAAUUCUUAUUACCCGCAAUCCUAUCUAGCAACUUACUGUCAAUGUUUUCCUUCUUGGUUUCAGAGAAACCCACAAAAUCCACAUUAUUAACUCUCAAAAAAUCUUGUAGGCAUUGACUUUUUCCAGGUUGUCCUAGACCACGGAUAUUUCAAAAAGCUCCUAUCAUGAAAUUCUAAAAGGGUGGGAUAGGCUACAAAGCCUCCUGGCAUUAAUCAGGUUUUGACAUGUACUACCAGAUACAUCAAUGCUUACUGCUCUGGUUUGUAUCAUGUCCUUACCACAGGGAGAACCCUUAGCAUUUUUAUUUGUAGGUGUGUAUAGGUCAUCAGGCAGUACAAUUUCAGGAUUGGAAUCUGCAAAUUCCAGACACCUAAGACUUUCCCUAAGGACCAAAUCCUGAAUGAUAUCCCCAUGUUCCUUGUCACUAUUUCCUACACAUAUAUCAACUCUAGCAAUUUGAUCAACAAGUAUUUGAGUAUCAUUAGCAGCAAAAGAUUUACCUUGGAAGGAAGCAGGAAUCUCCAGAUUCUUCUUCUGUAGGUAUGCAGUAGCUUUUUCCAUAAUCUUGAUAUUACCAUGUUACCUUGUAAUAGGUCUGGUGGAGAGCACAGGGCCCCAUUUCUUCUCUUUAUCUGAAUCUUCUUUCCUCCUCUUAUCCAUUUCCUUCAUCUCAAGGGAUUCCAGCAAGGAUCUCUUAGCUGAUCCAAAGCUUGUAACUAUAUGUUCAGGAAGGCACACCAUCUCAGGAAGGAUGAUUUCAUCUUCACCUUCAGAAUCAACCACCUCAAUCUUCCUCAGCUGGGCAGAGCAGUAAUCCAUGUGAGAGCCAAUGUCCAUAUCUUGAUUCAGUUCCUCAAAGUCCUCCUCAGAUGUCUCCAUUUGAGCAAUGGGAGUUUUGCUUUCAGCUUCCACCAAAAACUGCUCAUGUAUCCCAUCCAUCAGCAUCUCAGGGUGAAAGCUGGCAGCAGAUGUGCAGGCCACUUCCACCUUGUUCCCAGAACUAGCACUUUUGCCCUUGGAGAAAUUUGCUUUAUCUAAUUCAUCUAUGGGUUCAUCAGCAUCCCCAUCCAUAUACUCCUUAGUCUGAUCAAACUCUUCACCCCCCUUAUCUUCAUCUUCAACAUCCAAAUCAGGGUCAUCCCCAUCUCCCUCAGAACCUUCUACCUCUUGAUCAAAUCCUUCCACGGUAAAGAACAAGAUGUACAACUUCUUUUUCAUCUCCACUAAUCUCUCAUAUGGAAUCUUGGUAGGGUCUCUACAAGCUACCUUGAUUCUGACUUUUUCAUAGAAGCUCUUGAAAAUUCCAUUCCAGUCCACAUCAACCAAGAUACCAAAGCAAGAGGCUAUUUGGGCAAAAACCUUCCAUGCACACCAUCUUGGGGGAAUACCCUCCACUUGGAUCCAGACUUCAGUCAGCUCACCAUAAGGUUCCAGCAUCACAGCCCAUUCACAUAUCUUAAUAGAAACUCCGUCAAUGGGAAGAUCAAAGGCAGGAAAUUCAAUGAGAUCCUCCACUUUCUUCCAAGGUGGGAAUCUCAACAGAAACUUCUUCUCUUCUAACUCCCUAACUUGCCAAGGCCACUCUUUUCCUUUACAGAAUAUCCCAUUCAGUUGCACGAUCAGAUCAGAAGUAGAAACCUCUCCUUUAAGCACCUUCAAGACUGCACAAUUUUUGUAGUUCAACCAGUUGGACUCAGCUGCCACAGGGAUACCAACAACAACAACAACAACAACCAAGCCUUUCAGUCCCAAACAAGUUGGGGUAGGCUAGAGUUGAAACCCAUAAGAUCUCGAAGCCAAGUCAUGGCUCUGGAACAUGGAUAGCUAACUUCCACGCACCCCUGUCCAUGGCUAAGUCUUUGUCGAUAUUCCAAACCUUCAGGUCUCUCUUAGCGGACUCCUCCCAUGUCAAGUUUGGUCUACCACGACCCCUCUUAACACUCUCAGCACGCUUUAUCCGUCCGCUAUGCACCGGCGCUUCCGGUGGCCUCCGUUGAAUAUGUCCAAACCAUCUGAGAUGAUGUUGGACCAGCUUUUCUUCAAUCGGUGCUACCCCAAGUCUCUCUCGUAUAUCGUCAUUCCGUGUCCGGUCCUUCCUUGUGUGGCCACAUAUCCAUCUCAACAUGCGCAUCUCUGCUACACCUAACUGUUGGAUAUGUCGUCUCUUGGUUGGCCAACACUCCGCGUCAUACAACAUCGCAGGUCAGAUAGCUGCCCUAUAAAACGUGCCUUUUAGCUUUUGUGGCACUCUCUUGUCACAGAGUACGCCAGAAGCUUGGCGCCACUUCAUCCACCCAGCCUUGAUUCGAUGGCCCACGUCUUCAUCGAUAUCGCCAUCCUUGUGCAACAUGGACCCCAAAUAUCGAAACAUGUCUCUCUCCGGUACCACUAGCCCACCAAGGCUAACCUCUCCAUCCUCGUGCCUAGUAGCACUAAAACUGCACCUCAUGUAUUUAGUUUUAGUUCUACUAAGCCUAAAACCUUUCGAUUCUAGAGUCUGCCUCCAUAACUCUAACUUUCUAUUAACCCCCGUUCGGCUAUCAUCAACUAGCACCACAUCAUCCGCAAAGAGCAUACACCAUGGGAUAUCUCCUUGUAUAUCCCUUGUGACCUCAUCCAUCACCAAAUCAAAAAGAUAAGGGCUCAAAGCUGACCCUUGGUGUAGCCCUAUUCUAAUCAGAAAGUCAUCGGUGUCGCCAUCACUUGUUCGAACACUUGUCACAACAUUAUCAUACAUAUCCUUGAUGAGGGUAAUGUACUUUAUUGGGACUUUGUGUUUCUCCAAGGCCCACCACAUGACAUUCCAAGGUAUCUUAUCAUAGGCCUUCUCCAAAUCAAUGAACACCAUAUGAAAGUCCUUCUUUUGCUCCCUGUAUCUCUCCAUCAGCUGUCGUACCAAGAAGAUGGCUUCCAUGGUAGACCUCCCAGGCAUGAAACCAAAUUGGUUUUUUUUCACGCUUGUCAACCUUCUUAAGCGGUGUUCAAUGACUCUCUCCCAUAGCUUCAUAGUAUGGCUCAUCAGCUUGAUUCCGCGGUAAUUAGUACAACUUUGAACAUCCCCCUUGUUCUUAAAGAUUGGUACUAAAAUACUCCGCCUCCAUUCUUCGGGCAUCUUGUUUGACCGAAAAAUGAGGUUGAAAAGCUUAGUUAGCCAUACUAUCGCUAUGUCUCCAAGGCCUCUCCACACCUCGAUGGGGAUACCAUCAGGACCCAUCGCCUUGCCAACUUUCAUCCUUUUUAACGCAUCCUUAACCUCACACUCCUGGAUACGUCGCACAAAGCACAUGCUGGUAUCAUCAAAGGAGUCGUCUAGCUCAACGGUAGAGUUGUCAACCUCUCCAUUGUAAAGGUUGUCAAAGUACUCCCGCCAUCUACGCUUGAUCGCCUCAUCCUUCACAAGAAGUUGAUCUUCUCCUUCCUUGAUGCAUUUGACUUCGCCGACAUCCCUCGUCUUCCUCUCCCUAAUCUUGGCCAUCUUAUAGAUGUCCCUUUCGCCUUCCUUAGUGUUUAAACGUUGGUAGAGGUCCUCAUACGCCCGACCUCUCGCUUCACUCACCGCCCGCUUUGCAGCCAUCUUCGCCACCUUAUACUUCUCCAUGUUAGCUGCACUCAUGUCCAGAUAUAGGCAUCUGAAACAGUCCUUCUUCUCCCUAAUAACCUUCUAGACCUCAUCGUUCCACCACCAGGUGUCCUUAGCUUCCCUUCUACUUCCCUUGGUCACCCCAAACUCCUCUACAGCGACCUUCUGCAAGAAGGUCGCCAUACUCGUCCACAUCAAGUAUGCGUCGCCUCCUUCCUCCCAAGGGCCCUCCUUAAUGACCCUCUCCCUGAAAGCCUGGGAUGCCUCCCCCCUUGAGCUUCCGCCACUUCGUUCUAGCGACUUUGGCGCGCUUAUCCCGUUGGACACGAAUCCUAAAGCGGAAGUCAGUAACCACAAGCUUAUGUUGAGGGACAACACUCUCUCCAGGUAUCGCUUUACAAUCAAUGCAAGCGCGUCUGUCUUCUCUUCUAGAGAGGACAAAAUCAAUCUGGCUAGAGUGUAGACCACUACUGAACGUCACUAGAUGGGAUUCUCUCUUCCUAAAGAGGGUGUUAGCUACAAACAUGUCGUAGGCUAGAGCGAAGCUUAGGACAUCUUCUCCUUCUUGGUUCCUGAUGCCAUAGCCAAAGCCCCCAUGCACCCUUUCAAAACCUGUGUUAGAUGUACCCACAUGGCCAUUGAGGUCUCCUCCUAUGAAGAGCUUCUCACCAAUAGGUACCCUCCUAACCAAGUCCUCAGGCCUUCCCAGAACUCCCUCUUGGUGCCACAGGGAUAUCAAUAUGAUAAAAUCCCAGGCCCACUUCUGCACUACCAAAGUACUCAUCAAUGGGUUGUAGACGUGCCCAAGCAAUGCAAUUAUUGACAUUAUGUGUACCAGAACAGAUAAAGCAUCUCUUUGGUUCCACACAAUUGCCCACAUAGUGCCCAGGCCAACUACAGUUGAAACAUAUCAUGUCCUUAUACCUGGGGUCUAGGGCUUGCACAACAGGAAUUGGAACUGGGUUUGGGGCUGGAGCAGGGACUGCAUUUUGAACAACUGGGCACUCUUACCAGUGUUACUUGAUUGCUUCGGUACUGCCACUGCCCCCUUAGCUACAGGAGCCCCAGGAGGUGGAGGAAGGACUCCCUGACCACCUUUCUUGGGGGGAUUCUUCUUGGGCCUCUGUUGCCCCCGGGGAUCCAUGAUUCCCUUCACCACAGAUGCAAAAGAAGCUCUCCUAGCUCCACCUUCCUCACAGAUCCGAAACCUCGUGGGGAUAGGAUCAAAACGGCUAGGAUGGAUAAUAGGAUGGCAAUCUUCAGCAGAGAAGCAUCCAGAUCUCAGUAGGUUUUUCUUGAUCCAGAAUAGGUGGCUGCCUAUGGCCGAUCUAGGGUUUGGGGGAGGAGGGCGAUGUUUGUGGUUGGGCUGUCGACGGCUGGGGGAGGGAAUGACCCACAGCUGUCCAUAAAACUCCUCCACCUCUUCUUCCUUUCUGUCAAUGUAGCCAGAAGGCGUCUUCCUCUUUACCGCUUUCCCCUCCACCACUGAUACAUAGAUUACUGAUGGAUUGUUACCCUGGGCCCUCAAAGGAGGCCGGCACUUGUCUGUAUCUUCACUGUGUCCCUUUGACACAGCCCCACCACAAACUAGCCGUGGUCUCACCACUGGUUGGACCAUGGACACAAAUCCAUCAACACCCCGAGAAUUACUAUGAGAAUCCACAUCAUUCCCCAACUUUGGAACCCCAAUUAUCUCUUUCUCAUCUUGAUUAAUCUUAAGACCCAAAACUUUACUAGAUCCCCCUAUACAAACAUUGCUGGAAUCUAAACGGGAGUUGAUGAGGGAUGUAGAACUGGACACAAGUCCAUUGGAAUUAACAGGAUGGAUGAGAGCUUCAUCCCCCUCUCCAGAUGCUAUAGCCAACCCCUCGAUCCCCCUAAUAUGAACCUGAGGAACAAUCCUCGACUCCCCAAACCUAAUUCCAUCAUCCCCAAAUUCUGCACAAGCAGGGAAACUGUAUUUCAGAGAAGAUUUGCGUACCUUAAUAGCAUCCAGUGGGAUCUCACCCUAAUCCCCAUCCAUGGGGGAGGCUCAUGAAGUCGAGUCUCCAAAAGACGCCCGCGACGUGCUCCAUGGCCACGUCCAUGGGCACCACCCAUCAGGGAAGACGGGGUGGGCUGACUCCCUGCGGCAGGUACUCCAGCGGGAUGUUGGCCAGCUCCAUGAUUGAUGGCGGACGGAUGUUGAGCCGCGACGGACUUGUUGACUUGAAGCGCCUCCAUCUCCCCGCCUGGAUCGGAUCGGACGACUCCGCCUCCUGGAUGGCCCAGAAGAUGAUGUCGUAGUCCAUCCCUCCCUCGUCGCCGGCGAAACGGCAGCGCUCCGCAAACGUGCUGCUCCUGAUGACCUCGACGCAUAUUCCGACCACUUCUCGCACAACGAAAAUCUCUCCCUCACCACCCGCAGAAUCUCCUCCCUCGCCUCCGGCGAGCGCGAGUCGAUCUGUGGGCGCAUCUCCACCGGCACCAGCAUCGCUCCCGGAUCACCACCAGCGCUUGUGGUCGCAGUCGGCGAAUUCGUCUCCUCCAUCGCGGGUUCGUCAUUUGCGUGCCGAGAGGAGAGAUUGGGGUGUGCGGGAAACGGUGGAGACUGCAAUCCCUUUGCGCACUCGAUGUGGUGGGCGGAGUAACUCUAGCGCGUGGGUAGGUGUGGGGGUGGGUGGCCAUUAAUGGCGGCUGCGGCUCGCUCGGGCGUCGCCCGCAACAUACCCGUGUCGCCUAACGUGUUGGUCAUCCUAAGAUGUUUUUUUAUUUUCAAGAAAAUAGACGGACACACUUCAAAAUUACACCGUACACCAAACCCUAUUACCAAAACCCAGCCCUUCCCUUCCCAUCCCAUCCCAUCCCAUCCCAUCCGCCGCCAUCAGCAAGCGCAAGCGGGAUGGCAGGCAAGCAGGCCAAGUCCGGGAGGGCUGGUAAGGCAGAGAAGGUGCUCUGGAUGUGCCAUUGCGGCAAAAAGAUCAAGGGGCUAGCCGAAGGCCUGGACCACACAAGCAAAUGCGACGCGGAGCAAAAGGCGGCCCGGGCGGCCAAGGAUCGGGCGGCCGAGGCCCAGCGCAGACGGGAAGCGGAACUGGCGGCCGCGCGUAGGGGCCGCAAUUAGGCAACCGACAGGUACAUCAUCCGUUUCCUUCACCCUACCUAAAUUAGCGCAGAUUUGGACGAUGCGGGAUCCGCAUAAUCCAAGGCAGAUUUGGUCGGGAGUGCUCACUGGGACCGAGUUAGUAGGGAUCUGUGGGUGGUGGUACUGAAUUCAGAAUUCAGAGGGCUUUUACUACGAAUUUAGUACUGCAGUUGAUAACUGCAAAUUGGAUUGAAGUAUGAAUUUAGUACUGUAUUUGGUAACUGCAAAUUCGGAUUUAGUACUGUAUUUUGGUAACUGCAAAUAGGGUGGGGAUUAAAGUAUGGAAAACAGGCAAUUUAGUAUCUUAUAACUCAUGAAAGUGCAAGCAUAUACAGUCUUCUUAUAUCACAGAAGAAGAAAAAACCUGCCAAGCAAAAAAAAAACAGCUGGUCAGAAUGCACCUUAACCAUUGCAUACUGUAUUUUUUUUCUACGAGAUAAUUUGAUCAUAUACUAACUAAUUGCUGUGCUUUGCAGCGUAGGUGGCAGGCAACGGCAGGGGAGAAGAAAGAAACAGCAGGUGCAAAGUCAAUCAUGGCAAAAUAAAGCACAAUGUCAGCGAUUCAUCUGUUCUACUGAUAAAAUGCAAUCCUGUGAACAUGUUAUCUGCCUAUUUUGACCACCCGUGAACAUAUUACUUCACAUAUUACUUGCCAUGCUAUGUGCAUGCCCCUAUUAUGUCUUCAUAUUGUGUGAUGGUCAACUUCUCUCAAUCCCUUGAAUUUUUGUCAAAUCUGAUUAGCAAAAAAAUCAUGAAGGUGCUUCUUGUGAAGCUAAUUACAAGCUCACAAUCCUUGUCUAACUAAUACAAGUGUCUUUUGAUAAGACACCAGUUUGGAGGUUGAUAUUGAGGCCCAGAUUUUUUUUCGAAUGUUUGUAGUUGGUCUACCAAAUUCGUUUGAUCAUGCACCAUGCACCAUGCACCUGCGGCUGAAUCUGGCAACCGCCCCUGCCCUGCGCGCAGCAGCAGAACUGCGCUGUGACGCCUCCUGUGCAUCACGCCGCGACCGGCCAUGGAUGGCCGCGGCUCGUCGCCCGCGCCCCGCUUCCUGCUGCACCUUGCGAGCCAGCCACCCCUGCAACGCGCCAGGCCACGCCCGCACAAGCUCCACCUCGCGUCGCGCACACCAACAACCGCCUAGCACCGCCGCCGCUCGCGCAGACGGCUCGCGUCCUCCUCCUCCGUGCACACCGGCAGCGUCCCGCCAAGAGCCCCACCACGCCCCGCAUCUUCGAAGUUGAGUCGCCCCCGCGCCGCUCGAGAUCCUUGCGAGAUGGAGAUGGCCCGUCGCCGGCGACGCCCUCCAACGACGGCGAGGUGGGAGGCUGAGAUUUAGGGUUCUCCCGGGCCGCUGCAAGGAGCGGCACGGGAGUUGCUGGCUCACCCAGUUGGAGUUGCUCAGAUAUUGGCAUUGNNNNNNNNNNNNNNNNNNNNNNNNNNNNNNNNNNNNNNNNNNNNNNNNNNNNNNNNNNNNNNNNNNNNNNNNNNNNNNNNNNNNNNNNNNNNNNNNNNNNNNNNNNNNNNNNNNNNNNNNNNNNNNNNNNNNNNNNNNNNNNNNNNNNNNNNNNNNNNNNNNNNNNNNNNNNNNNNNNNNNNNNNNNNNNNNNNNNNNNNNNNNNNNNNNNNNNNNNNNNNNNNNNNNNNNCAAAUGUCCUUGUUUGGCAGGUCGUGGUAUUCAGGCUGGGAAUCAAAGCAGAAUAUUGGCCCGUCUGUGCCAUGUUUCCUAUUUUCCUGUGUAUAUUAUUCAAAAUCUAUCAAAUUCUAGCCAAUUUCAAAAAACGCUAAAGUGCGGUUAAGCUGCGCUUAAGCGUACAUUGCUCUAAGCUAUGGCCUUUUGCUUCGCUUACCGCUUUCCGCUUUUUUGAACAUUGUAUGAUAUUGAUGGAUCCAUUGCGAACAAUCAAGCAAAUAGAGUGGGAGGGAAUUCAACAAUGCUAUCACAAACAAUCAAAGCAGACCGUGCGGAAAGGAAUUUAACAAUGAGACUGAGCAUACCUCAUCUAGUUGCACGUAUUUGAGGUGAAGGACGAAACGCCAUCACGCCUCAUGCUGGCUUGCAUAUAAUAACAUUCUGUGAGGCUGAUCGCAUAAAUAAAGAUUUCAAUACAACAUGAUAAAAUAAAAUAAUUAAGCUGCCCUCCAAUACUUCAGUAUUGUUAGUAUGGACUUCAAGUUCAAAGUGCUAGUCAGAUUCAAUGCACCUCAUUUGCAUUUGAGGCAAAAUAAUGUCACAGAAACUGGAAAAUUUCAAACAUGUUUUGACAGAGAGAGAAGCAAAUAUUCACAGCUAGACCACCUGUUUAUAUAAGGUCAGGUUAUACAAAAGGGCAAAAGAGAUGUUUAACACUCAACUAUAUUUCCAAUGAUGAACGUGGUAGUUGUAUAACAGAUACAAGUAUACACAAUAUGUAAUAAAAAGCAACAAUGGUGACUGUCAACUCAUGAAACGAUGGAAACAUACAUCUGCUAUGCUAAGACCUACAGCCUAUAGCUCCUAACUUUUUUAUCUACCAAGCGGUACAGCUACAUCUAUUUAAACAAAAGAAAUUAAGAAACGGCCCUUCUGACACUUUUAGGGUAAAAGAAACACAAAAUAAAAUACUUACACAGAACUGCAUAUUUCAUUAACACGGAAGCCAUAAAUACUUGAUUGGUAAGAAUAUGCAUCGCUCCCAAACCAGUUCACAAAUCAAGAGAUAAAAAAUAUGAGUAGUUUAUUUUGCAAUAAUGGGAAAUAAUAGGCAUCCAGAACUUAAAAGACCAAGUUCCUACAUGAUCUGCCACGCUUACUCUGCAAUGUAAAACAUCCGCGUAAAAACCAUCUGGACCUCAUUUUUCAAACUCCUACUAUCGAGGUCUUUAAUUGCAUAAUAGCAUCCUAGAUUUGACCACGUUUGUACUAAUAAUCCUGAGUUUUGUGAACCAAAUGCAGUUGACAAAAUUCCUAUGUUUUCUUAUCACAUGCAUUUCUACCUUAUUCCUGUGUCUAUUCUUACAUAUCAUCAGAACAUAAGAUACCCUUAGAUUUUAAAAAUUAACACUACAAUAAAUAAAUUUUCAAUGAGGAACAUUAGAAGUAUGAUAUUCAAAACUCAUUUUCCCACAAUGUAGAAUCAUAUCAUAAUAUAUACUCCCUCCGUCCGGAAAUACUUGUCUUAAAAAUAGAUGUAUGUAGAGUUAUUUUAGUUAUAGAUACACCCAUUUUAUUUAUUUCUAGGACAAGUAUUUUCGGACGGAUGGAGUAUAAAGCAUGUAGAAAUAUGUCUUAACGAACUUAUUAUUUUGUCACAAUGUAAAAUCAUAAGACAUCUACAGCAUAUAGUCAAGUUUCAAUUGUACAACAGAAACGUAAUUAUGUACUCCCUCCGUCCAUAAAUAUAAGAUGUUUUGGAUAUUCCAAUAUAUAGACUACAUACAGACAGAAAUGAAUGAAGAAACACGCUAAAAUGUGUCUAUAUCCAUCCUAUUUACAAAAAAGUUAGAACAUCUUAUAUUUGUCAACGGAGGUAGUAUACUAUACUAGUCGCCAUGAUAACAUACAUGUACAAGAUCAUCUUGUUCAACGAUGUGUAGUUUUUCAUUGAUGUAGAGUAAUAAAACAUGCACGACACAUACUUCAAUUUUAAUAGACCUUAUACUUUUUAUAAUAAUAAUAAUAAUAAUCGUACAAUGCACCGAAGUAGGAAAAUAAUAGUUAUAUGGCUAGUUACUUAUCAAGACAUAACAUGUGUAAGCUAUUGCUUGUUUAAAAAUGUAUACCGAGGCUUAGUUUGUGGAUUGCUGAACUAUGAUUAGUGGAAACUACCCUGUAAUAAUCAGCGAAGUAGGAAAAAAGUACACAAACGAUAAAAUAGGCAAAAGCUGGAUUGUAAUAAUCCACUGCAAUGCCAAACACAGACUAAAUUUACAAUAAUAAAAAAACAAGAUGUUCAAUCCGUUUAUCUUGUGAUGUCCAAACACAGCCUAUAUAUAUGAUACUCCCUCUGUUCCUUUUUAGUGUGUACUAAUCUUUUUCAUAAGUCAACUCUUCCAAGUUCCGUUUGUAGAAAAUAAUGAUAAAAUAUUAACAACCAAAAUACCAUAUGUAUAAUCGACUGACGUGCUACAAGGCCCCACGCGUGCUAGAGGCUGCGUCAAACCCAGUACCUCUUGGCACAAGUUGGGGCAUGUCCUUCGCAUCAAUAUGUUUUCAUGUUUAUUUAUUUAUUAGUACUAUCGAAAUUGAUAUUCAUUUUUAUAUGAACUUGGUAAAAAGUAAAAACUAGAAAAAACAUAUUUCUAUAAAUCAAAUACACCUUUUAAAAAAGAAUAGAGUGGGUAAAAUUUUGAGUCAUAAACAUGGAAUCACAUAUCAUCAUCUGUAAGGCUUAGUUUGCACUAAAAAAUAAAAUCGAUAAGAAAUGAAUAAUUAUUAUUAACUAUAGAAGGGCCGCAAAAUAACAUGGCCAAAUUUAAUUACCUCGAUACCACUAACAACAUUAAAGCCAUAUAACUUUAUCAAACUAUCCAAAAACCAAUAAGUGUGUUCCUUGUGGUAUUUUAUCAAUUAUCAUGGCUAGCCUCCGAGCAAAAUAUCGAUCACCUCAGGCAACCAUUGCACCUCACUGGCCUGCUCCUAACCAAUAUCUCGCAUGCUGAUGUCAUCAUCCUGUAUCACGGAUCUGAAGCUGAUUAUGGCUUAUCUUCAGCCAAGGCUACCGUAGACCAUAGCAGAUCGAACAGAUCUAGGCUUCUACCACAGACAUCAAACAGUAGACGGAUCAUAAGGCUAGUGAGCUCGCCAGGGGUAGGUAGACGAGAAAGCUAGAUCCAAAUUUCUCAGUGGGAGAACUCGAUCGACCCACAGUGCCACCAGAUACCGGUUUAUCGCAAAAUUACCUCUGGUUUAAUCACAUCGCCGGUAGCAUGUACCAGCCACUUGCCAAGGCUCCAGCAGUGGAGACCGGCACGUCUCUCCUUACAGAUCUGAGUCACCCACCGGUACCUUCAGAUCUGUCGCAGUCAACGCCAUAGAUGGAUGCGCCUCCGGUAGAUCUCCGUGAACUAUAUUGCAGUCCUGGAGCCUAUAGAGGACAAUCACCGGCGCAGGGCGGCGACGGACCGCACAUCCUAUCAGUCAGAUCAACUCACCAGUUUGUCAUCAGAUCUCGAAAGAGGCCGUCCAUAGAGGUCAGCUACCAUCGCACCGUCUCCACCAUGGGAAAUUCGUAAGGAUGACUGGUGCUCCACGCCUCCAACUCCUCCAUUCACAGGAGGCGCAGAAGCCGGGAAAACUUGGCCCGAGCACCAGUAACUCCCGUGAGCGCGUCAAACGCACCGCCGAAGUUACGGCGGCGAUUUGCCGUGCGAGGGAGGGAAGGGGCCUGCGGCGGCGGCCAGGGGGUGAAGCGACGGUGGACAGGGGAUGAGGCAGGCGACGUAUAAGGGUUUGAGAGGCGUGCAGGGGAACGAGAGAGAUGGGGAUUCCGGCCCUGUUCGAUGCCAAAAGAAUAUCGCGACCUAAAACUCGCUACGUUAUACGGAAAGCAACUGCAUGUGCAUGUAAAAAAAAAAAAAAAGGCAACUGCAUGUGGAAAAUCGGGGCGGGUGAAGGAGCUUAUGUCCUCAGCGCGUGCUCUCGUCGUGACGAAUAACUUUUCUGCCUGCGUCUCAC